AUGGCAGUGUUUAAUUUCAUAUCCUCUCUUUUUCAUUUAAGCCAGAGGCUCACAGGAUCAGCUUUUGACAAUAUCAUUUUUAGGACGUGCAUAACAAUUCAUCAGGUAUUCAGUUUCAAGGGUCUCACUCAGAGCUGGCCCUCUGUGAAUGUUGCUGAUAGGUGCCUGACUGCACAGAGCUGAUGGUGACAAAGGUAAACACCACAUUAAACACACACACACACACACACACACACACACAGAGCAGACUUUUACUGGAGCCAAAUCUUCCCUAUGGUGGAAUAUACCUGCUGUAUUUCCAUUGAAAAUGCAACAUGUUGGUUGGUGUGAAAACUGAUGUCAGGAAAUGCCCCCAAGAGAACAAAGCAUGUAUUAGGUGAUAAUGGAUGUUAUUACUGGAAGCAACAUUUGUCUCCUCGUUUUUUUUUUUUUUUUUCCUUCCUGACUCUCAUUCAACCAUAGUAAAUUUUAAUAUGUGUGUCAGGUUUCCCGCAAUUUAUAUAAAAUGAAACUCUUUGGAAAAGAUAACACCUGAGUGUCCAUAUGAUUUCAUGCUGCAGUCUCAGCUUAGAUCUAAAGCUAAUGUCAGAUUCUCGUUCCUUCUCCUAGGGAGAUGUCAACAGAAUAUGCUGGUUCAGAAUGAAUGUGUCCCUGUGACUGGUAUUUCUGAUGGACCUGGCUGUGCUUCUGCUCUCAGAAAUCACCCCCUUCUGGGAUCACAAGAAAAAUAGGCCCAUCUUUUAAGACAGAAAUAAUUUUUGCUUCCCUAAGCACUGUUUCUCAAAUUUGUUUUUAGGUUUAAAAUCUAUUGGUGAAUCUUCGUGCCAUAUCUUAUUAUGCAGAAAAAUCUAAUGUGUGCUGGUUAGGAAAACAGGCCCUGAGGUCUAAUGAAAUACGACUGGUUCUUGAAGCUUUCAGAACCAGAUAUUAUUUCUUCUAUUUUUUUAGCCUGGAUUCACCUCUCCCAGCAAUUCCUGUUUUGGCUCUUGAAGGUACCGUGAGAUACACCAUCCUAGACUUAGACUACAGUACCUGGGUGAUGGAGGAUGUCUGGCCACGGUGCAUGAAUGACAGGUGGGAGAGACACAGCUGUGCUGCUUGGAUGAGGGCAACUUGGAAUAAAGGAUAGAAGGGUGAUGCUUGUCUUCA
rnacentral:lncRNA from 1 species